rnacentral:rRNA from 1 species
GACAGAGGGGGCAAGCGUUGUCCGGACUGACUGGGCGUAAAGCGCGCGCAGGCGGUCAGAGGCGUCGGUGCUCAAAGUCCACCGCUUAACGGUGGGAGGCGUGCCGAUACGCUCUGACUGGAGGGCGGGCGAGGGUGGUGGAAUUGCCGGUGUAGUGGUGAAAUGCGUAGAGAUCGGGAGGAACACCUGUGGCGAAGGCGGCCGUCUGGGCCGACCCUGACGCUGAGGCGCGAAGGCGUGGGGAGCGAACGGG